rnacentral:rRNA from 1 species
UACGUAGGUGGCAAGCGUUGUCCGGAUUUACUGGGCGUAAAGAGCGCGCAGGCGGUCGGAUAAGUCGAAUGUGAAAGCCCCCGGCUCAACUGGGGAGGGUCAUUCGAUACUGUUCGACUCGAAGGCAGGAGAGGGAAGUGGAAUUCCCGGUGUAGUGGUGAAAUGCGUAGAUAUCGGGAGGAACACCAGUGGCGAAGGCGACUUCCUGGCCUGUUCUUGACGCUGAGGCGCGAAAGCGAGGGGAGCAAACGGG